UACGUAGGGUGCGAGCGUUGUCCGGAAUUAUUGGGCGUAAAGAGCUUGUAGGCGGUUUGUCGCGUCUGCUGUGAAAAUCCGGGGCUCAACCCCGGACUUGCAGUGGGUACGGGCAGACUAGAGUGCGGUAGGGGAGACUGGAAUUCCUGGUGUAGCGGUGAAAUGCGCAGAUAUCAGGAGGAACACCGAUGGCGAAGGCAGGUCUCUGGGCCACUACUGACGCUGAGAAGCGAAAGCAUGGGGAGCGAACAGGAUUAGAUA
rnacentral:rRNA from 1 species